rnacentral:rRNA from 1 species
UACAGAGGGGGCAAGCGUUAUUCGGAAUUAUUGGGCGUAAAGGGCGCGUAGGCGGCUUUGCAAGUGACGGGUGAAAUCCCUCGGCUUAACCGAGGAACUGCCUGUCAGACUGUGAGGCUUGAGACCGGGAGAGGUGAGUGGAAUUCCCAGUGUAGCGGUGAAAUGCGUAGAUAUUGGGAGGAACACCAGUGGCGAAGGCGGCUCACUGGCCCGGUACUGACGCUGAGACGCGAAAGCGUGGGGAGCGAACAGG